ACCCGCUGAACUUAAGCAUAUCAAUAAGCGGAGGAAAAGAAACCAACAGGGAUUGCCCUAGUAACGGCGAGUGAAGCGGCAACAGCUCAAAUUUGAAAUCUGGCGUCUUUGGCGUCCGAGUUGUAAUUUGCAGAGGGCGCUUUGGCAUUGGCAGCGGUCCAAGUUCCUUGGAACAGGACGUCACAGAGGGUGAGAAUCCCGUACGUGGUCGCUAGCCUUUACCGUGUAAAGCCCCUUCGACGAGUCGAGUUGUUUGGGAAUGCAGCUCUAAAUGGGAGGUAAAUUUCUUCUAAAGCUAAAUAUUGGCCAGAGACCGAUAGCGCACAAGUAGAGUGAUCGAAAGAUGAAAAGCACUUUGGAAAGAGAGUUAAAAAGCACGUGAAAUUGUUGAAAGGGAAGCGCUUGCAGCCAGACUUGCCUGUAGUUGCUCAUCCGGGUUUUUACCCGGUGCACUCUUCUAUAGGCAGGCCAGCAUCAGUUUGGGCGGUUGGAUAAAGGUCUCUGUCAUGUACCUCUCUUCGGGGAGAACUUAUAGGGGAGACGACAUGCAACCAGCCCGGACUGAGGUCCGCGCAUCUGCUAGGAUGCUGGCGUAAUGGCUGU
rnacentral:rRNA from 1 species